rnacentral:rRNA from 1 species
AUGCUGAACCUGUGCCGCCUCCUCGCCGCCCGGGGCGGCGUCUCCGCCACCGUCGUCGUCAGCGAGGAGUGGCUCGGCCUGCUCGGCGGCGGGCCCGCGCCGUCGGGCGUCCGCCUGGAGGCCAUCCCCAACGUCGUCCCCUCCGAGCACGGCCGCGCCGAGGACAUGGCCGGGUUCGUCGAGGCCGUGUACACCCGGAUGGAGGCUCCCUUCGAGCGCCUCCUCGACCGGCUCGGGGCCGCGCCGGCGGCCAUAUUCGCCGACACGUUCGUGCCCUGGGCCGUGCGCGUAGGCAACCGGAGGGGCGUCCCGGUGUGCGUCCUCUCGCCACCCAGCGCCACCAUGUUCUCCGUGCAGUACCGCUUCGACCGCCUGCCCCUCGACGAGAUCGCCAUUGGCCUGGCCGAGAGCAAGUUCAGGUUCCUCUGGGUGCUCCGCGACGCCUGCGCCGGCGUGCACGAUUUGAUCCGUCGAGGCGACUGUGUGAUCGUCCCGUGGUGUGACCAGCUCAAUGUAUUGUGCCAUCCUUCCGUUGGGGGGUUCUUCACCCGCUGCGGCAUGAACUCGACGCUGGAUGCGCUGUACGCCGGCGUGCCGAUGCUGACUCUGCCGAUAGCCUUCGACCAGCCGAUCAACAGCCGGCUAUCGUCGACGAGUGGAAGGUUGGGUACAACCUCAAGGAGAAGGUCUGGGGCGAUGACGCCAUCGGAAGAGAUGAAAUUGCUGGAGGUGUUAAUGGGCUUAUGA